rnacentral:rRNA from 1 species
AUACGGAGGGUGCAAACGUUGUUCGGAAUCACUGGGCGUAAAGGGCGCGCAGGCGGUUUGAUUAGUCAGAUGUGAAAGCCCACGGCUUAACCGUGGAAGUGCAUUUGAAACUGUCAGACUUGAGUACCAGAGGGGGUAGUGGAAUUCCCGGUGUAGAGGUGAAAUUCGUAGAUAUCGGGAGGAAUACCGGUGGCGAAGGCGACUACCUGGCUGGAUACUGACGCUGAGGCGCGAAAGCGUGGGGAGCAAACAGGAUUAGAAACCCCUGUAGUCC